UUUUUCAAUCCCACCCAGGUGACAGGAGCUGAAUUCCACGUGGGAAAUUGAAAUGCCUAAGGGAUUCACAGGUGUAAUGUGUUUGAAAUCAAGCUGCUGCUAUUCAGGAGAAAGAAGCUUGUGUGGGUUCAGGAGGAGAGCUCUGAGAGCAAGUAGUCCAAGAAAUCAGCUACCAGAGGGAAAGCAGCAGAUUGUAGAACAGCUACCGGCACAAGUGACCUUGCAGCCUGAAGUCUCUCUGAAAGAAGGCAUCUUUGCAGAUUGAAGACCAAGAUCGGGAUACACCCAGUGCCGAUCUCCAUCUCUGGGUAAUGCUGAAAUGUUCAUUCGCUGCUCUGCUGAGCCAGACAUUGGAGAGAUUGAUCCGGGCUUUGUGAGUGCCAAUUAAUGAGUGUUUGCACUGCAAAGCAAGGCGUACAAGCCCACGUACAGCUGCUGUCUCUGCUGAGUACCAAGAUGAUCCUCAAAUGAGGAGCUGGUCAGGCUGGGCAUCAUCAGUACAGGGUACUGAGGCAGCCAACUGGUCCAUACUCUGAUCCAGUUGGCUCUUUUGGGGAUCCAUCUACAGAAAUGAACCAUUCCAUGAACUCCAGGGAGCCCAUUCAUCCCAGCUUCCCCAGGGGCAACCCUGGGGCUGCAGAUGGGCAAUAUGACCACCUUCUACACCCAGAAGAAGCCUAUUGCCACCUCAAUCUCCCCGGAACCCGGUUAGAUAAACUGUUACUUGUGAAACCUCUCUUAG